UUUCCUGCCUGAAUUUUGGGAAAUCACACAGAAAAGACGCAUCCGAGCCUGGCAUUGUAGCUCUGCCAAGUCCUCCCCUGACAGACGUGUUCUGAUCAGAGCUGUUUGUCCCACAGGAAAAGAAUCAGCUUUCUAUCAAGUGGACUCUGGGCACUGCCCCCAGAGAGCUCAAGCUCCCAAGGACCUAGAGACUGACCCAGUCAUGCCAGCUGAGGCCCAGUCAGGCUAAAUCCCCCGAUCCAGCGCUCCCGCAUCUACCCCCAGGACCCCCAGACAACUGCGAGGAGCUGACGUGGAGUGUCCCCGCCUGGAUGGCAUCCCUGGAAAAGGCUGGAGUGUUUCUAAAGAGGCUGUUCAGACAUCACAUCACAGUCCCAGACGGCCGAGAGGUUCUUGCACUCACUUGGCUGCCCUCCCUGGAAAUGCUUUGGAUCAGACAGCACUCUGGGUUGUUUUUGCCUGAGGAAAGCGAGCUGUGUGAAUACCAAGAACCUUUCCUCAAAGCGCCUGGCUCUUGAAUCAGAAUCCUUUAUGUGGGAAGGAUUUGUGAGGAAGUGCUUCAUGACCAGGUGGUCACAAGAAAGCAGAGAUUUCCAUGUGAGGUCAUCUUGGCAAAGAAGCUCCCUCACCAUCCUUGACUUCCGGGUCUCCAGGGCAACCACUGCUGGGGUGUCAUAGGCACCAGAGCGUGUCCCUUGAAGUCCACACUGGGCAGAUAAGCCAUUUUUUGGCAACUGCCAUGUAACAAAUUCAUUCUCAAAUGAGGAUGAUGUAUGUGGUUUUUUUCCACUCUCUUCCACAUUCUGGCCCAGAAUUCUGGGCAUAGGACGUAGUCUAAGAAUGUACCUUGGGAUGGGAGUUAAGAGAAUAAUGUGAGGAAGGACUUGGAGAAAGAAGUACUUCUAAUCUGAAACUAAUGACGUACUAUAUGUUGGCUCGUUGAAUUUAAAUUUAAAAAAAAAGUACCUUCUUCUAGACAGAGGGACAAGGUAGUUUUCCUUUUGGCUCCCCCAGUCCAUAGCUCAUUUCCUCUCCCUCUCCAAGCUCGAUAAAGGAAGUUGUGGUAGACAGUCUCCAAAUCGGUAGCCCCAGUCUUUCCCUCCUGAUGUUUAUGCGCUGCUUCUCACCUCUCCAAACUGGGAUAGCCAUAGAGCCUGGCUUGACCAACAGAAUACAGUAGGUUACAUUCUGGAACUUCCAAGGCUUGGUUAUCAGAAGCUUUGUGAUAUCUGUCUGGGUCUUUUAGAAGCUUUAGUCCUGGGACACUUGCUCUAAAAACCAGCUACCAUCCAGUAAGAAGGCCAAGCCACACAAAGAGGCUGGAAAUAGGUGCUCUCAUCAAGAACCCCAGCUGAGCUCUCCGCCAAGAUUCACAUCACUGCCAGCCUUGUGAAUGAAGGGCAUCCACUUGGCUGUGCAGCUCAGUAGAACUUUGGGGGCACUCCAGCCCUAGCGACCGUGUGAGUGUAACUGCGUUACAGAUCCUGAGUGAGAACCAGCUAGCUGAGCCCGGUCAGCACAGGUACAAGAGAGCAGAGUUGUUUCAAGGUCCUACGUUUUAGGGCGUUCUGUUAUGUAGCAAUAGGUAAUUGAACAGGAACGCAAUGCUGGGUGGGGAGUGAAAGGAGAGGGGAGGAGCUCCUGACAACGUAAUGACUUUGAGGGGCUCUAUUUCUCUUUCUCUCCCCCUUGGUACCCCCAACACCAGCUGUUCUUUCUGAGCUGUGCCCGGCCCACAGCCCACAGACCUUGUCCUGCUGCUGAUUGUUGUGCGUGUACUCAGCUCCUCCGUGGGAUGGGGGACACCCUGAGGGUAGGGCCCUGUCUGAUUUGAUUCUUACCCUCCCUGGUACUGACAGAUUCGUCAGGCUGCUCUAGUGGAUACACAUGGAGAAUAACUGCUGGGAACAGGAUUUCAAGGUGCUUUAAGUGACUUGGCUUCUGAUCUUUGACAUUUAAUACCUGAUAUCUUAUGUCUCUGCUGCCUGGGCCCACCUAGGGGCUAGCCACAUCAUGGGGGAGUCUGAACCCCACCAAUGCUCUGGCCACUCAAGGGAAGGAGAUCAGGGCCAAGGGGGGCAGUUACAAAUCUCCUGAUUGGAUUUGUCCCUCUGGAGGCUUUGGAACCAGAGAGAGGACACGCGUGACGGCUCUGGGAACCAGAGGGGGUUUGUAACUGUGCGGGGGGAAGGAGACCCCACGAGAGUGCAAGCCCCCAGGCAGGACUCAUUAGUGGCGCUCCCCAGGAACAGCUGAGAGCCCAUCAUGUGAAGGACACUUCCACAUGUUCAAGGCCUCCCCUGGCUGUCCAUGACUGGAUGUGUGUGUUUAAGCCAUGCCGGCCAAGGUCAGUGGCGGAGAUGCAGGUCAGCUUGUGUAGAACCUGGUGUCUGCUCAGGGGCCCCGCUAAACCCAGGGCACAUUCAGAGCUUGUGAGAGAGGGAGGAGCAAAGGCAGGACAGGGUCAGCUCAGGAGAAGUUUCUUUGUCCCUUCAAUAAACAAUCACCUGUAGCCAAGCGUGGCUCCAGGCACGGGGCACACAGUAGGAGGCAGUCCCUGCUUCCAGGUAAACAUCUUCUGGGGGAGUUGUAUCUCAGAUCACGUCACCUGUGUCGGUAGAACUUGGCUGGCAAUGAAAAUCAGGGGAGCUGUGUCUUUCCUCCUUAUUACAGCUUAGCCUUCUGACUUCAUUUAAAGACCCGGAAAUCCCCGCGCUGUGGAGGUGGUAAUAGGUGUGGGCACAAAAGCCACAUGAUCUGGGUUCAAGUCCUGGCUUCACCAGAACUUACUGGCUGUGUGAUCUUGGGCAAGUUGCUUAAUCUCUCUGAACCCCUUCCCCAUCAGUAAAAAUAAGUGCUUCAUCUCAGGGUUGUAUGGGGAUUUGAUGAGACCCUGUUGGCAAAACAAGCACUUAGCUCCAUGCUCAUAGCUUGUUUUCUAGCCUCCAGGAAGACUGGGCAGAUGGGCAGAUACCACAGGAUACCAUGCUGGGAAAGCAUUUCUGAGACAGGGCAGCUGCCUCUGCCCACAGGUAGGAGUUACCUUUGUGACACGUCCCUGUGAGGUAAAGAAAGCAGUGAGGGACCACGGCCCAUUCUCCUGUAGCAACCAAGCAUUUGCUCGAAUCGCAGUCCUUUUCCCAAGCAGCACACCUGUGUUAUGCCACCAUUCAGACGACAUUGUCAGCUAAUCAUUCUGAGCAGGGAGUAUGUUCUCUGGUGAGAAGCUGGGCCCUCCAUGGGGAGGGUCGUUUUUCUGAGAAAAUGCCCACUUUACCUCAUCUCUCAGGCUGUACUUCUUAACCAACAGGCUCCAAGUAAGUGAAGCUAGAGCCCAGUGUCUGGGAAAGAUUCUAAACCCCUGGUGUUUCCCACACAGAGGGGAUAUACUUCCUGUAAAUCUUCACUCUCCUUAAAGUAGUUUAACAGAAAUAAGGCAUUUGAUCCUUCCUUAGUACAUCUCAAUAGUUCAAUUUUCACUGUCAUCUGAACUCAGGACAUAGAAAAAUAAAACAUAAAGCCUUAUUGGGCCUACUGGUUUAUCCAUCAUAUUCUAUUACCUUCUAAGAAGUCUGUCCAAGUAGCAUAUCUGGCCCCUUGAGGAACACCUGGCUGGACUAUUUAGGUGGUGGCAAGGGAAGGAUUGGCUUAUUUUCCUCCCCAGAUGUAAUUCUUUGGGCUCUCCACCCAGGGUCACUGCUAGCUCACAUGCAUCUCUGUGCAGACAAGAAAAAGGCACCCGUUCCUCUGUGUGGAGGCAGCCAUGCCGGGGGGGGGGGGGGGGGACAGUGUG